UCUCUCUGAAUCUGCGAACGGCUCCGCAAACCAGUUGUAAACUAUAGCAAGCAUCCCCUAGUGCAGGCCGCAAGGCUGGCGCUGGGGUUAUAAGGAUAACCCUGGUAAUUCUGAGGCUAAUACAUGACCGUAGAACCUGGAGGACUGGCCUCGGCUGGGAAUCCGGGGGAUGUGCGACGUAUGCUUGGUGUUUCCGGGAAGGGGCGCAUGUUCAGACCACGCUAAAAAGGUCGGGUCCCUUCGGGGGCCUGUCCCAGUGGCUCUUGCUGUGUGCUUCUGACCUAUCAACUAGACGGCAGCCUAAUGGACAUGCUUUGGUGACAACGGGUACAGAGGAUUAGGGUUCGAUCCUGGAGAGUGGGCCUGAGAGAUU
rnacentral:rRNA from 1 species